rnacentral:rRNA from 1 species
GACAGAGGUGCCAAGCGUUAGGCGGAAUCACUGGGCUUAAAGCGUGUGUAGGCGGAUGUCUAAGUACCUUGUGAAAUCCCACGGCUCAACCGUGGAACUGCUUGGUAUACUGGAUGUCUUGAGCCAUCUAGGGGCUACCGGAACAAAUGGUGGAGCGGUGAAAUGCGUAGAUAUCAUUUGGAACGCCAAUGGUGAAAACAGGUAGCUGGGGCUGUGCUGACACUGAGACACGAAAGCCAGGGGAGCAAACGGG